rnacentral:rRNA from 1 species
GAUGAACGCUGGCGGCGUGCCCAACACAUGCAAGUCGAGCGGCAGCGCGGGGUGCUUGCACCCUGUCGGCGAGCGGCGGACGGCUGAGUAACGCGUGGGAACGUGCCCCAAAGUGAGGAAUAACUGCCCGAAAGGGUAGCUAAUACCGCAUAUUAUCUUCGGAUCAAAGGAUUUAUCCGCUUUGGGAGCGGCUCGCGUCGGAUUAGGUAGUUGGUGAGGUAAUGGCUCACCAAGCCGACGAUCCGUAGCUGGUCUGAGAGGAUGACCAGCCAGACUGGAACUGAGACACGGUCCAGACUCCUACGGGAGGCAGCAGUGAGGAAUCUUCCACAAUGGGCGAAAGCCUGAUGGAGCAACGCCGCGUGCAGGACGAAGGCCUUCGGGUUGUAAACUGCUUUUAUAAGUGAGGAAUAUGACGGUAACUUAUGAAUAAGGAUCGGCUAACUACGUG